rnacentral:rRNA from 1 species
AAUGAACGCUGGCGGCAUGCCUAACACAUGCAAGUCGAACGGCAGCACGGGGGCAACCCUGGUGGCGAGUGGCGAACGGGUGAGUAACAUAUCGGAACGUGCCCUGGAGUGGGGGAUAACUAGUCGAAAGACUAGCUAAUACCGCAUACGAUCUACGGAUGAAAGUGGGGGAUCGCAAGACCUCAUGCCCGUGGAGCGGCCGAUAUCUGAUUAGCUAGUUGGGGGGUAAAGGCCUACCAAGGCAUCGAUCAGUAGCUGGUCUGAGAGGACGACCAGCCACACUGGGACUGAGACACGGCCCAGACUCCUACGGGAGGCAGCAGUGGGGAAUUUUGGACAAUGGGCGCAAGCCUGAUCCAGCAAUGCCGCGUGAGUGAAGAAGGCCUGGUGUAG